UACGUAGGGUCCGAGCGUUGUCCGGAAUUACUGGGCGUAAAGAGCUCGUAGGUGGUUUGUCGCGUUGUUCGUGAAAACUCACAGCUCAACUGUGGGCGUGCGGGCGAUACGGGCAGACUGGAGUACUGCAGGGGAGACUGGAAUUCCUGGUGUAGCGGUGGAAUGCGCAGAAUAUCAGGAGGAACACCGGUGGCGAAGGCGGGUCUCUGGGCCGAUACUGACGCUGGAGGAG
rnacentral:rRNA from 1 species